rnacentral:rRNA from 2 species
CCCGUUCCCAUCCCGAACACGGAAGUCAAGACCCUCAUCGCCAAUGGUACUAUAAGGUUCGCUUUAUGGGAGAGUAGGACGCUGCCAGGU